UGGGGAAUUUUGGACAAUGGGGGCAACCCUGAUCCAGCCAUGCCGCGUGUCUGAAGAAGGCCUUCGGCUUGUAAAGGACUUUUGUCUGGGAGCAAAUGCUGGUGGCUAACAUCCACCGGAGCUGAGAGUACCGGAAGAAUAAGCACCGGCUAACUACGUGCCAGCAGCCGCGGUAAUACGGAGGGUGCAAGCGUUAAUCGGAAUUACUGGGCGUAAAGCGCACGCAGGCGGUUGGAUAAGUUAGAUGUGAAAGCCCCGGGCUCAACCUGGGAAUUGCAUUUAAAACUGUCCAGCUAGAGUCUUGUAGAGGGGGGUGGAAUUCCACGUGUAGCAGUGAAAUGCGUAGAGAUGUGGAGGAACACCGAUGGCGAAGGCAGCCCCCUGGGAUAACACUGACGCU
rnacentral:rRNA from 1 species